rnacentral:rRNA from 1 species
CCUGGUUGAUCCUGCCUGUAGGCACAUGCUUGUCUCAAUGAUUAAGCCAUGCAUGUGUAAGUAUGAACAAAUUCAGACUUUAAAAUUGCGAAUGGCUCAUUAAAUCAGUUAUAGUUUAUUUGAUGGUAUCUAAUACUCGGAUAACCAUAGUAAUUCUAGAGCUAAUACGUGCAACAAACCCCGACGUCUAGAAGGGAUGCAUUUAUUAGACAAAAGUUCGACACGGGCUCUGCCCGUUGCUGCGAUGAUUCAUGAUAACUCGACGGAUCGUACGGCCAUCGUGCCGGUGACGCAUCAUUCAAAUUUCUGCCCUAUCUAGUUUCGAUGGUAGGAUAGUGGACUACCAUGGUGGUGACGGAUGACGGAGAAUUAGGGUUCAAUUCCAGAGAGGGAGCCUAAGAAACAGCUACCACAUCUAAGGAAGGCAGCAGACGCGCAAAUUACCCAAUUCUGACACGGGGAGGUAGUGACAAUAAAUAAUAAUACCGGGCUCAAUGAGUCUGGUAAUUGGAAUGAGUACAAUCUAAAUCCCUUAACAAGGAUCCAUUGGAGGGAAAGUCGGGUGCCAGCAGCUGCGGUAAUUCCAUCUCCAAUAGCGUAUAUUUAAGUUGUUGCAGUUAAAAAGCUCGUAGUUGAACUUUGGGAUUGGCCGGCCGGUCAGCCUAUGGUGUGCACCAGUCGUCUCGUCCCUUCUGUCGGCGAUGCGCUCCUGACCUUAACUGGUCGGGUCGUGCCUCCGGCACUAUUACUUUGAAGAAAUUAUAGUGCUCAAAGCAAGUCUAAGCUCUGUAUACAUUAGCAUGGGAUAACACUAUAGGAUUUCGGUCCUAUUACGUUGGCCUUCGGGAUCAGAGUAAUAAUUAACAGGGACAGUCGGGGGCAUUCAUAUUUCAUAGUCAAAGGAGAAUUUAUUAGAUUUAUGAAAUACGAACAAUUGCAAAAGCAUUUUCCAGGGAUGUUUUCAUUAAUCAAGAACGAAAGUUGGGGGCUCGAAGACGAUCAGAUACCGUCCUAGUCUCAACCAUAAACGAUGCCGACCAGGGAUCGGCGGAUGUUGCUUUUAGGACUCCGCCGGCACCUUAUGAGAAAUCAAAGUUUUUGGGUUCCGGGGGGAGUAUGGUCGCAAGGCUGAANACGCGUGAGUUGUGUUCAGUAUGUGCAUUUAGGUUGGUUCACUGCUCAAGCAACAAUGUUUUGACCCGCCUGCCAUCUUAGUCAUGGGGCAAACGUAAUUUAGGUUUGCUCGAAGACGGUUUCCUGCGCUGCAUACCCAAUGCCCAGGCAUUAUCAAGUUUUAUCGAUCGCCUUUCGCCCUUCAAAUUUUGUGCGUGGGUUGAAUCAAAAGGCCGCCCUCGUGUCCCACUCCUUCCUCGCUUUGUUGUACGGUGAUGGUCCAUGAGCAGCGAUCAGGAUUCUCGGAUGCGCUAGACAUAGUGGGCAUGGGGUCUUUAUCGACUCCUAUCUGCCCUGUAUGAUGCUCCUUGAAAAUGAUGGUUGCGCUCGCCUUGAAUCCAUCUGCGCCCUCACAGGUAGGCCAGGCUCAUGC